rnacentral:rRNA from 1 species
UGAGCGGCGGACGGGUGAGUAACGCGUGGGUAACCUGCCUCAUACAGGGGGAUAACAGUUAGAAAUGACUGCUAAUACCGCAUAGGACCACGGUACCGCAUGGUACAGUGGUAAAAACUCCGGUGGUAUGAGAUGGACCCGCGUCUGAUUAGGUAGUUGGUGGGGUAACGGCCUACCAAGCCGACGAUCAGUAGCCGACCUGAGAGGGUGACCGGCCACAUUGGGACUGAGACACGGCCCAG